UACGUAGGGCGCAAGCGUGUCCGGAAUUAUUGGGCGUAAAGAGCUCGUAGGCGGCCUGUUACGUCUGCUGUGAAAUCCCGGGGCUUAACCCCGGGCGUGCAGUGGAUACGGGCAGGCUGGAGGCAGGCAGGGGAGAACGGAAUUCCCGGUGUAGCGGUGAAAUGCGCAGAUAUCGGGGAGGAACACCGGUGGCGAAGGCGGUUCUCUGGGCCUGUACUGACGCUGAGGAGCGAAAGCGUGGGGAGCGAACAGG
rnacentral:rRNA from 1 species